UACGAAGGGGGCUAGCGUUGCUCGGAAUCACUGGGCGUAAAGGGUGCGUAGGCGGCUCUUUAAGUCAGGGGUGAAAUCCUGGAGCUCAACUCCAGAACUGCCUUUGAUACUGAGGAUCUUGAGUUCGGGAGAGGUGAGUGGAACUGCGAGUGUAGAGGUGAAAUUCGUAGAUAUUCGCAAGAACACCAGUGGCGAAGGCGGCUCACUGGCCCGAUACUGACGCUGAGGCACGAAAGCGUGGGGUGCAAACAGG
rnacentral:rRNA from 1 species